rnacentral:rRNA from 1 species
GGAGGAAAAGAAACCAACAGGGAUUGCCUCAGUAACGGCGAGUGAAGCGGCAACAGCUCAAAUUUGAAAUCUGGAGCCUUCGGCUUCCGAGUUGUAAUUUGAAGAGGAUGUUUCGGUUGUGGCCUGGGCCUAAGUUCCUUGGAACAGGACGUCAUGGAGGGUGAGAAUCCCGUACAUGGCUGCAGGCUUACUUCCAUGUGAAACUCCUUCGAAGAGUCGAGUUGUUUGGGAAUGCAGCUCAAAAUGGGUGGUAAAUUUCAUCUAAAGCUAAAUAUUGGCGGGAGACCGAUAGCGCACAAGUAGAGUGAUCGAAAGAUGAAAAGCACUUUGAAAAGAGAGUUAAACAGCACGUGAAAUUGUUGAAAGGGAAGCGCUUGCGAUCAGACUCGCUCUCGGUUGAUCAACGUUCCUUCUGGUGCGUGCACUCUGCCGUUGGCGGGCCAGCAUCGGUUGGGGCGGCGGGACAAAGCCGGCGGGAAUGUGGCUCCUCUCGGGGAGUGUUAUAGCCCGCUGUGUAAUGCCGCCAGCCCCGACCGAGGUCCGCGGUUCUGCCUAGGAUGCUGGCUUAAUGGUCGUAAGCGACCCGUCUUGAAACACGGACCAAGGAGUCUAACAUCUAUGCGAGUCUUUGGGUGUCAAACCCAUGGGCGGAAUGAAAGUGAACGGAGGUGGGAGUCCUCGGAUGCACCAUCGACCGAUCCUGAUGUUCUCGGAUGGAUUUGAGUAUGAGCAUAGCUGUUGGGACCCGAAAGAUGGUGAACUAUGCCUGAAUAGGGUGAAGCCAGAGGAAACUCUGGUGGAGGCUCGCAGCGGUUCUGACGUGCAAAUCGAUCGUCAAAUUUGGGUAUAGGGGCGAAAGACUAAUCGAACCAUCUAGUAGCUGGUUCCU